rnacentral:rRNA from 1 species
UACGUAGGGUGCGAGCGUUAAUCGGAAUCACUGGGCGUAAAGCGCACGUAGGCGGCUUUCUAAGUCAGGGGUGAAAUCCUGGAGCUCAACUCCAGAACUGCCUUUGAUACUGGAGAGCUUGAGUCCGGAAGAGGUGAGUGGAACUCCGAGUGUAGAGGUGAAAUUCGUAGAUAUUCGGAAGAACACCAGUGGCGAAGGCGGCUCACUGGUCCGGUACUGACGCUGAGGUGCGAAAGCGUGGGGAGCAAACAGG